UACGUAGGGUGCGAGCGUUGCCCGGAUUUAUUGGUCGUAAAGGGCGCGUAGGCGGCCACGCACGUCCGUUGUGAAAUCGCCCGGCUCAACUGGGCGGGGUCAGCGGAUACGGUGUGGCUAGAGCAAGCUAGGGGGCAAUGGAAUUCCCGGUGUAGUGGUGGAAUGCGUAGAUAUCGGGAGGAACACCAGUGGCGAAGGCGGUUGCCUGGAGCUUUGCUGACGCUGAUGCGCGAAAGCGUGGGGAGCGAUCCGG
rnacentral:rRNA from 1 species